rnacentral:rRNA from 1 species
CCUACGGGAGGCAGCAGUGGGGAAUAUUGCACAAUGGGCGAAAGCCUGAUGCAGCGACGCCGCGUGAGGGAUGACGGCCUUCGGGUUGUAAACCUCUUUCAGCAGGGAAGAAGCGAAAGUGACGGUACCUGCAGAAGAAGCGCCGGCUAACUACGUGCCAGCAGCCGCGGUAAUACGUAGGGCGCAAGCGUUGUCCGGAAUUAUUGGGCGUAAAGAGCUCGUAGGCGGCUUGUCACGUCGGGUGUGAAAGCCCGGGGCUUAACCCCGGGUCUGCAUUCGAUACGGGCUAGCUAGAGUGUGGUAGGGGAGAUCGGAAUUCCUGGUGUAGCGGUGAAAUGCGCAGAUAUCAGGAGGAACACCGGUGGCGAAGGCGGAUCUCUGGGCCAUUACUGACGCUGAGGAGCGAAAGCGUGGGAGCGAACAGGAUUAGAUACCCUGGUAGUCCACGCCGUAAACGGUGGAACUAGGUGUUGGCGACAUUCCACGUCGUCGGUGCCGCAGCUAACGCAUUAAGUUCCCCGCCUGGGGAGUACGGCCGCAAGGCUAAAACUUAAGGAAUUGACGGCUGAAGACGNGCGACGCGACGACGAGGAGAG